GACGAACGCUGGCGGCGUGCCUAAUACAUGCAAGUUGAGCGCUGAAGGUUGGUACUUGUACCAACUGGAUGAGCAGCGAACGGGUGAGUAACGCGUGGGGAAUCUGCCUUUGAGCGGGGGACAACAUUUGGAAACGAAUGCUAAUACCGCAUAAAAACUUUAAACACAAGUUUUAAGUUUGAAAGAUGCAAUUGCAUCACUCAAAGAUGAUCCCGCGUUGUAUUAGCUAGUUGGUGAGGUAAAGGCUCACCAAGGCGAUGAUACAUAGCCGACCUGAGAGGGUGAUCGGCCACAUUGGGACUGAGACACGGCCCAAACUCCUACGGGAGGCAGCAGUAGGGAAUCUUCGGCAAUGGACGAAAGUCUGACCGAGCAGCGCCGCGUGAGUGAAGAAGGUUUUCGGAUCGUAAAACUCUGUUGGUAGAGAAGAACGUUGGUGAGAGUGGAAAGCUCAUCAAGUGACGGUAACUACCCAGAAAGGGACGGCUAACUACGU
rnacentral:rRNA from 1 species